rnacentral:rRNA from 1 species
AGAGUUUGAUCCUGGCUCAGGAUGAACGCUAGCGACAGGCUUAACACAUGCAAGUCGAGGGGCAGCGGAGGUAAAGGCUUGCCUUUACCUGCCGGCGACCGGCGCACGGGUGAGUAACACGUAUGCAACCUGGCCGUCACAGGAGGAUAACCGGGAGAAAUUCCGCCUAAUACUCCAUAACACUUUCCGGGGACAUCCUGGGAAAGUCAAAGGAAUUCGUUCCGGUGACGGAUGGGCAUGCGGCGCAUUAGCUAGUCGGCGGGGUAACGGCCCACCGAGGCGACGAUGCGUAGGGGUUCUGAGAGGAAGGUCCCCCACAUUGGAACUGAGACACGGUCCAAACUCCUACGGGAGGCAGCAGUGAGGAAUAUUGGUCAAUGGGCGGAAGCCUGAACCAGCCAAGUCGCGUGAGGGAAUAAGGCCCUAAGGGUCGUAAACCUCUUUUGCCGGGGAGCAAUGGUUCGCUUGCGAGCGGACAGGGAGAGUACCCGGAGAAAAAGCAUCGGCUAACUCCGUGCCAGCAGCCGCGGUAAUACGGAGGAUGCGAGCGUUAUCCGGAUUUAUUGGGUUUAAAGGGUGCGUAGGCGGACCAUCAAGUCAGCGGUCAAAAGUCGGGGCUCAACCCCGUAAAGCCGUUGAAACUGGCGGUCUUGAGUGAGCGAGAAGCAGGCGGAAUGCGUGGUGUAGCGGUGAAAUGCAUAGAUAUCACGCAGAACCCCGAUUGCGAAGGCAGCCUGCCGGCGCUCAACUGACGCUGAGGCACGAAAGUGCGGGGAUCGAACAGGAUUAGAUACCCUGGUAGUCCGCACAGUAAACGAUGAAUGCUAGCUGUCCGGUCCGAAUGAGGAUUGGGUGGCACAGCGAAAGCGUUAAGCAUUCCACCUGGGGAGUACGCCGGCAACGGUGAAACUCAAAGGAAUUGACGGGGGCCCGCACAAGCGGAGGAACAUGUGGUUUAAUUCGAUGAUACGCGAGGAACCUUACCCGGGCUUAAAUUGCAACUGACGGAACCGGAAACGGUUCUUUCUUCGGACAGUUGUGAAGGUGCUGCAUGGUUGUCGUCAGCUCGUGCCGUGAGGUGUCGGCUUAAGUGCCAUAACGAGCGCAACCCCUAUGGACAGUUACUAACGGGUGAAGCCGAGGACUCUGUCUAGACUGCCGGCGCAAGCCGCGAGGAAGGUGGGGAUGACGUCAAAUCAGCACGGCCCUUACGUCCGGGGCGACACACGUGUUACAAUGGCAGGUACAGAAGGCAGCCAGUCAGCAAUGACGCGCGAAUCCCGAAAACCUGUCUCAGUUCGGAUUGGAGUCUGCAACCCGACUCCAUGAAGCUGGAUUCGCUAGUAAUCGCGCAUCAGCCAUGGCGCGGUGAAUACGUUCCCGGGCCUUGUACACACCGCCCGUCAAGCCAUGGAAGCCGGGAGUACCUGAAGCAUGCAACCGCAAGGAGCGUACGAAGGUAAUACCGGUAACUGGGGCUAAGUCGUAACAAGGUAGCCGUACCGGAAGGUGCGGCUG